GCAGAUCGUUGGGCGUCAGCGCGAGCCAGUCAGCCAGAGCGACUAUCGAUUCGAUAAGCGGCGCCGUCCAUGGCAUGUUCACGGCGGCGAAAUGCUGCAACGAGUCUGACCAGGCGUGUGCAAUCCUGCGCAACGCGCAGACGUCCGCACACGCGACGAAAUGGCACCGUAACAAGAUCCCCUGGGGUAACCCCAGAGAGGCAAAUCAAACCCGAAUCCGUCGGCUUUGGAGCACUCCGCCACCGUGGGAAAUUCUAGCGCACGAUCUGCUGCAGCUGCCGUGAGCGCGGCAUGAGCUGGCCGUUCGGAUACACGGAAUCCACCCAGGCGACCUUGCGCGGCGACAUCCAGCCUUCGAGAUCAGGCAGAUCGAAAUGGCGCAGCGCGCCUGGCACUGCGUUCUCCCACUGGUUGCGGUGGAUGCGGUUGCGGAUGAUGGCCUCGUACGAGGUGCUGCUGCGUUCGAGCGUGAGACCCGCGAGGCGCGUGUCGAAGGCUGCCGCGUAGAGCAGUGGGAUCGCACCCAUGUCGCGCCCGUGGCCUGUGAUGCGGGUUGCGUCAAUCUCCGGACGUGAGGCGAGGAAAUCGAUGGCACGCACGAUGUCCUCGGCGCGCAUCGUCACGAGCGGCUUGCCGGUGAGCAUCGCGGUCAUCGCCGAUUCAUAGUCGCCGAAGUAGCGUGGCCAGUCGGAGCCGUUCUUGUCGUUGAUCGCGCGUGUUUCGCCGAGCCCACGCACGUCGAUCGCCAGCGCCGCGCUCCCGGCUUUCACCAGCUUCUCCGCCGCGUCAUGAGCCGAUGAUUUGCCAGCGCCGAAGACAAGGAUGGUCACC
rnacentral:misc_RNA from 1 species